CUACCAAAAAUUGACAACAACAAAAGAUGUGAAAAAUCUUCAUGAGCACUGACAUGAACGGAAACACCAGAAUCAAUAACCCAACCACUAUCUUGACAAACAAGACUAAUAGAUGCUUCGUUGAAAAAAACACCAAUAUUGCCCUCAUCUGCAACUGUAUUACUGUGUUCAUCUAGCUGUCCUUCAUUUUGUUCUCUUUUUCCAGAUUCUACAUUCACUUUUCUUGUUGCCAAGUUUGUUACAGUGGUAAUAUUUUUUUCUAAAUUUAAAUUUUCCUCUAGAAAAAUCUCUCUUGUUGUGUAUGUUAGGCGUUCUGCUUUUGCUUCUCUCACGCCUGUCAUAUCUUUCGGUAACAGGAGUUUCAUAAGAAGAUUCUUCCCUUUCUUUUCUUCUAUUUUCUUCAUUGAGGAGACUGUUUUUAACCAUGUCAAUGGUUCGCUUUUCGUCUGGUGUCAAAUUGCUCAAUUAUACAGCCAGUGUAUCCUAGCUAUCUGGCAACGAGCUGAAUAAUAAUAAUAACUGCAUCUCAUCUUCAAGCAUCAUCUUCAUGGUAGUCAAUGGAUUGACUAAGCUCGCUAGUAUGUUCAGUCACGCUAUGCUCUUCCCUAUACUUCAAGUUCACAAGCCUUUUAAUUAUCAUGGCUUUGUUCCUGGAUGUGUUCUUUACAUGCAUAGCCUCCAACAUUUUCCAAAUGGCAUGUGCCUCGGUUUCUUCAGCAAUAUGAUGAAAAAUAUUGUGAUUGACCCACUGUCUGAUCGUUACAGCAACAUUCAUAUGUGUUGGGAGAAAAACGAUGAGGCAAGUAUGACACAAUAUCAAGUUUUGAUCACACAAGUAAGAACAAAAUUAAAACAAGUAGAAAAAUUGGCAGAGGAAUCGAGUAAUUUUAUUAUUAAC
rnacentral:lncRNA from 1 species